UCCAGCCGGUCCAAAACCUGCUCGCCAGGAACGAACCGUAUUUUAGGGCUCCGGCGCGGUACGGUUGCUUGCCUUCCAAUGCUGCUGCCCGAGCUCUCCUCCUCCCUCCGCCGCAACAGCGCCAAUGCCUUCGUUGCCUUCUACCAUGGCCGCCGCCGCCGCCUCCUCGGAGACGUCCUCUGCCUUUUCUCCUCAACCGGCACCGCCGCGACACCGAAACCGCAUUUCAUGGUCGACUACCUCGUCGACUUUUGUGGGUUCUCGCCGGAGAAGGCCGUCAGAGACUUGAAGCACGUCCGCUCCAUCAAAUCCCCCCAACAGCCCAACUCCGUCUUGGAUUUCUUCAAAAGACACGGUUUUGAUGACCCCCAGAUCAAAAAGCUCAUAUCCUGGCAUCCCAGAUGGCUCUCCCUGGAUGUGGAGAAGAGCCUGGCCCCCAGGUUCCGAGCUUUACGGGAUCUCGGCUUCUCCCAGUCCGACAUCAUCCACAUCACGCUCUCAAACGCCUCCAUCCUCCAUCUCAGGCUCGACACCAAGCUCCUCCCCAAGAUCGAGUUGUGGAGGAGUCUCCUCGGAUCGAACGACGUCCUGAUGAAAUUCAUCAAGAGGGGACUGCGGCUUCUCUGUUGCAGCAUGGAAAAGUGUGUCCUUCCCAACCUAUCAGUCUUGCGGGACUGCGGUAUUCCAGAGAGCAAGAUCUCUGUCAUCGUGAAGCAGCAUCCAGCGGUCGUCGUGCAAAGGCCGGCUUCGCUCCAGGCUUUGAUUGAUCGCACCGAGGGGCUUGGGAUACCCCGCCACUCAGGCAUGUUUGGCUGGGCCCUUCGUGUCCUCUGCAGCGUGAACGAAGCCAAGUUCAAGGCAAAGAUGGAGUUCAUGAGAACCUUGGGCUGGUCAGAGUCGGAGUUCCUCUUUGCUUUCCGUACGACACCCUCAAUCUUAGGCGCUUCUAAGAAGUCGCUGCAGAAAAAGAUGGAGUUUUGGGUGAAGGAAGCUGGUUGCCACCCGUCCUACCUCGCGCACCAUUCAGUGCUCCUGAUGUGUAGUUUAGAGAACAGGUUGAUCCCUCGGUAUCGUGUGAUGGAGAUUCUGAAAUCAAAAGGAUUAUGCAGUGAUGAUUGCAAUCUGUAUACCAUUAUGUGUCUCUCCGAGGAGAAUUUUCUAAAGAAAUUUAUUCUCCGCCACAAGGAGGAAGUCCCUGAACUUUGUGAAAUGUAUGCUCCUUGCUGCAAUAGAAGCGGAACCCGCUAAGCCAUGCAAUUUCACAAACUCAGGUACAACUUUUGCUCCAUUGAUGGUUUGAUGAUCAGUGAUUCUUUCUGCGGCAUUUUUGAGAGAAGUGGUUUAACGUCAAUAUUAGCAAAUGGUACAUAGCAUGCCUCCUAUGAGGCAAGAACCUGAAGCCAACUCAGCGCGGUUGUUUGCGUAACGGAACUUACCAAUCUCCUUUGUCAGUGGUCCAUACUUGUUGAAGCCAUUUAUCCUCGAGGAGUUCCCAGAACUUAGCACAUGUAUUUUUUGGUGCAAACGUGGCCCCAGAAGAUUUGAAUUCAGGAUUUUUUUUGUAUCAUUUGUCAUUUUUCCAUUGCAAGUUAAAUUUUCUCUCUUGUGAGACCAUCAGGACUGGCCGUAUUGCAGCCCAUAUAGUUGCAAUGUGUUGAUAUGUCACUCCAAAUUUGCUGAUCUUAUAAAGGUCUGUACCCAGGUGCGCAAUUCUGUGUACGUAUUUUCUGCUGGAAACUAUAGCUGCUAUACGUGAGCCAUUGCAUAACCUUGUACUGCAUCAUUAUGCUCUGUUGUAAUUCUCGGCUGCUGUGAUGUAUGUUCAGUAUUUCA